GCCAGCACGAAAACUUUCGUUUAUCUCGACGACACAUCUGCAAUGAUCGAUUGAAAUGUCAAUGCCUGCAGUUAGUCAAGCAUCAAGGAUGAACUUGCCCUACACCAAUGUUUGUUUAAGACCGGUACACGGACACAUACGGAAAUGUUCAUCACAAUUCGCAACUGAAGCAUUUCCAAUGAGCAUAAAAUGAACCAAACAAAAAAACAGCAAUAAAGAUUAAUAUAAAAUUGAAAGUGAGAGUUUAAGAAUAUCACCAAAAGUUUAAUUAAAAGCCCAUCAAACUGCAGACACUGAUAUCAAUCACAAUUCCCAAUUCCCCCCAUAUUCAAUCGAAUCCGCCUUUGAUUCCGAGUCUGAGCCCAUGUCCGGUUUCCCAUAUUCGGGAGUGUGUGAAAAAUUGAUGAUAUGCGAAAUUAUGAAAGAGAUGGAUAGAGGGAAAUUGUAUUUUUAAAGAUUACAAUUUAUUG